GACGAACUGUGCAAACGUUAUUCGGAAUCACUGGGCUUAAAGAGUGCGUAGGCGGUUUUGUAAGUAGGGUGUGAAAGCCCCCGGCUCAACCGGGGAAUUGCGCCCUAAACUGCAAGGCUUGAGUGAGGUAGGGGUGUGUGGAACUUCCAGUGGAGCGGUGAAAUGUGUUGAUAUUGGAAGGAACGCCGGUGGCGAAAGCGACACACUGGAUCUUGUCUGACGCUGAGGCACGAAAGCCAGGGGAGCAAACGGG
rnacentral:rRNA from 1 species